rnacentral:rRNA from 1 species
UACGGAGGGUGCUAGCGUUGUUCGGAAUUACUGGGCGUAAAGCGCACGUAGGCGGCUUUGUAAGUUAGAUGUGAAAGCCCGGGGCUCAACUCCGGAACUGCCUUUAAGACUGCAUCGCUUGAAUCCAGGAGAGGUGAGUGGAAUUCCGAGUGUAGAGGUGAAAUUCGUAGAUAUUCGGAAGAACACCAGUGGCGAAGGCGGCUCACUGGACUGGUAUUGACGCUGAGGUGCGAAAGCGUGGGGAGCAAACAGG